AGAACCAUGCACCCAUUUCUGCAGUGGUAGGAAAAGGUAAACACCAAAAUGGUAGAGGCUGCACAAAAGUGGUGAGGAGGUGCAACAUUUAGUAGUAUCACUGAAAUGUCUCGGAAAAAGGACUGGAACUUGCAGAGUUCUGGAUGAUAAACAUAUCCUGUUUGAAUGAGUCAGAAGGAUGAUCCAUCUUUUAAAUUGCAGCGUAGAAUAAAGACGUGCAAGAUCGGGUCUCAGGGAUGAUGGAGGCUAAAAUGCCAAAAGGGACGUCACUAGAUAAAAGCUGCAGAAUUUAUGCAAGUACUACAAGAAAGCUUCCCUUUUUGUUCGUGUGGAUGGAAGCAUGCAAGAGUAUUGUGGGUACACAUGCACCUAACCACAAACACAAAUCUCAAUGCAGCACAACCUAUGUGGGUGGGAGAAGAGGGGCU